rnacentral:rRNA from 1 species
GACAGAGGAGCCAAGCGUUGUCCGGAUUGACUGGGCGUAAAGGGCACGCAGGUGGUCGCGCAAGUGUGAUGUGAAAGCGGCUCGCUUAACGAGCCGAGGCCAUCGCCGACUGCGUAACUCGAGCGCGAGAGAGGUCCGUGGAAUUGCCGGUGUAGUGGUGAAAUGCGUAGAGAUCGGCAGGAACACCCAGGGGGGAAAACCCAG